rnacentral:rRNA from 1 species
UACAGAGGUCCCAAGCGUUGUUCGGAUUCAUUGGGCGUAAAGGGUGCGUAGGUGGCGCUGUAAGUCGGGUGUGAAAUUUCGGAGCUUAACUCCGAAACUGCAUUCGAUACUGCGGUGCUUGAGGACUGGAGAGGAGACUGGAAUUCAUGGUGUAGCAGUGAAAUGCGUAGAGAUCAUGAGGAAGACCAGUGGCGAAGGCGGGUCUCAGGACAGUUCCUGACACUGAGGCACGAAGGCCAGGGGAGCAAACGGG